UUUGGGACGCAGAGGAAUCUAAAACGCAGCGUUUUAAUAAAAUCUCUGUUAAUUUCAAAACGUAGCGUUUCAUCUGACCUCUCCUUAAAAAAAAGAGAGGUUUAUUGCCGGCGGCGAGAGAGAGAGAGAGAACAGUCGCCGGAGAAUAUGGUUCCCGGGAAGAUAGCAACUCGUCUUCAUCUCUUGAUCGAUCGUUGUGUUUGCGGAUACGCCGAAAGAGAAGAGAUGAGUUCGCCGGCGAAGGAAACGGAGAAAGAAUUGCUUCUUUCUUUAUCUCAGGUAUUGAGAGAGAUACAAUCUUGGAUUAGCGAAACUGAAGAGGAAGAAGAGACUACUGAUCAUGAGGAUGGAUCUGAUACUGCUUUAUGCUUGGAAAGAGUUGUGGCUGAUCUUGUUGGUUUGUUGGGUAUGAAGAAUGUGCAUGUUAAACAUUUGGCUGGCAACAUUCUUGUGCAAGUAUCCGAGUGUCUUGUUGAAUCUGGAAGCCAAUGGGAUGAUUUCAUUCGUUUGCUUUGUGAAUGUUUGCGCUUAGCAGUUAUCUACAGUUGCCCACCAAUCCCUGCUGUUUCUUCAUCAACUGGAUUUGGAAGUCCGGAUCUACAUUUAUUGGGUUCUGAUGUUCUUAAAUGUAAGCUGGAAAAGGCUAACUGGUACAUGGUGUCUGAUAUUUUUCGAAUUCUUCGUAAUAUAUUUAAGCGUUUGAGCCUAGAAGAAAAUGAGGAUCUUCUUGAUGUAUACUUGGAAUCUGUCAACUCUACACUUGCAAAAAUUCCUUGGUGCCGAGUAAACACUAUUUUCUCUCAUCAGCAUGGUAGUGGAACUUUUGGAAGCUCUGAAAAUUGUGAGGAAGGAACAGUAUUUCUUGGGAGCUUUGUUCAGUUUCUCUGUUCGGUGGUACAGCAGGUUCCCUUUGCCGAAGAUUCUGAUGGUUUUGAACCUGCACGUUUGAUCAUCCAAAAAACCAUCGAGCUUGUUCCGGAUCUCCUUCGUUGGUGCCAACCAAAGUUAGAAAGUCAAAAUGGCUCUUCCAUGUCAAGAUACCUAGGUCACAAGUUGCUGGUCCUAAUGGCCAGGCUCACGUAUCAGUCCAAUAUAGAAUGUACCAUUCUUCUUUCAUGGCUGCAAUAUUUACAACGCCAAUCUCAAGGCCUUCUUCAACACACCCUAACGAGCUUUAAACCCAUCCAAGAUAAUUGUUUGGAAGGUUCGCCAUUUUUUGUGAGUUUGUCUGAUAGGGAGGUCAGUGAGACGCAUUCUAAUCAUCUGCAAAGACUUUCUGUGUUUCUGUUCCUACGGUGCUCCUUCACUUUGCUUUAUUCGAGUAGACAUACCGACAAGCACUGUCAGUCUGAUUGUAGAAAGAAAGGAAUGGAAGAAAUGUUUAAAUGGAUUGAACGACUGAUUCCAGGUGAUACAUUUUCAGAUCACAGAAUUUAUACCAAGAAGAGAGUUGUCUUUUCUGCAUCCUUCGUCCGGUUGUUCAUGCAUGAGGAUGAUCUACUAUUUAAAGUCCUCCUGCAAUUCCUGUCUGUACCAUUGCAUAGAGAAGAACUGCUUAACGUGGAAGGGCAUUCGCGUCAGGAUGAGGAACAAACUAUUCUCUUCCGUUUAUCAACCUUGUUCAAUCCUGUAGUCCUAUUCUGUAUAUUUCUUUCAGAGUUGCAUUAUGAUCAUCAAGUCCUUCUUGAUUACCUUAUAUCUAAAGACAUCGGGGCUAGCUGUGCAGAGUACCUGCUGAGAUGUUUGCGAGCAGUCUGUGAUUCAUGGACCCUAUUUGUGGAAUUCCCAUUUGAAGAAAGUACAAAUGCUUCAUCUUUAAAGAGAAGAAAACUUUUGCUUGAGACUUCUGGGGUUGAAAAGAACUGUAAACUACAUCCUCAGGCUUUUGAAGAUGCCAAAGAUUGUCUGCUUUCGUUACAAAACUCAGUUGUUAAGCUACAUCAGAAGAAAAUAUUUCCAUACAACCCAGAAGCUCUUCUACGACGUUUGUCAAGGUUUCAAGAGCUCUGUGUAUACCACGAGUAAUUUAUCUGGACCAAAGAAAUUUCCCAAGAUGUUUCCAAUUAUUGACAAGAAAAAUGUGGUGAUAGAAGUCUUUGAACCUCUCAGUUUAGCUUCUCAGCUGAGAUUCUCUGAGAGAGAAGGAUCAGAUGCCAACACAAAGAAGACUCCUUUCCAGAUCAAAUUGCAAACUAAUUGGCUCAUAAAUUGAAUUGUAUGUAUCGUCAAAAAAAAAAAAAUUGAAUUGUAUAGAGAUCCUAAAUUCGUUGUUGCUGCACCUGCUGUGAAACAGAGAGCAUUAUGUUCUUGCCUCCAUAAUCCAUAUCUGAAAGGUAUAAGAUACUCUUGUCAAGCUAAUGUGAAACUGCCCCAGCCAAAUACAGUAAGCAGUGAAAUGUCGAAGUUACAGUGUAGAAAUAACCAAAAUCACAUAUAUUGAAACUCUCUUAUUCAUAUCAUAGAUGUAAUUGAGCUCAAAUCAUACAUGGUUGUUAUCAUUUUA